rnacentral:miRNA from 1 species
UUGGAGGGGUGGGUCUU